GCCAUAGUGUAAUGACCCAGGGAAAUAAAAUUGGAACUAUACAGAGAAGAUUAGCAUGGCCCAUGCGCAAGGACGACACGCAUAGAUCGAGAAAUGGUCCAAAUUUUU